AGGAAGUUUAUCAAUCAGUGUAAGGCUAUGAUGGGCGCCAAUUUCCUCUAUAAGGAGGUGGCUUCAAGGACAGACUCUUCUUCACUCUGAAGGAAUAACAUAGGUGUUGGUGGAAGGCACUUCAGUUGUAGGAGGCGGGAUUGCACUCUAAGUCGUACAAAAUGGCUAGUAAUAAAGUUCAAAAAGGUCGACGCCUCUGCUUAGAUGCUAGAGGGGCCUAUACUGGAUUAUAAUGUUCCAAAGUAGAGACAUUAAAAAAGAGACAAUUAUCAUGGCAAAAUGGAAUUCUGGACCAGCACCACAUCAAAGUGUGAAGGCAAUACUGGACACACAAUCUAGAGUAACACAAGUGAGCAA